CCUACGGGUGGCAGCAGUAGGGAAUAUUGCUCAAUGGGGGAAACCCUGAAGCAGCAACGCCGCGUGGAGGAUGAAGGUUUUCGGAUUGUAACUCUUUUUGUUAGAGAAGAUAAUGACGGUAUCUAACGAAUAAGCACCGGAGAACUCCGUGCCAGCAGCCGCGGUAAAACGGAGGGUGCAAGCGUUACUCGGAUUCACUGGGCGUAAAGAGCGCGUAGGCGGGAUAGCAAGUCAGAGGUGAAAUCCUAGGGUUUAACCAUAGAACUGCAUUUGAAACUGUUUUUCUAGAGUAUGGGCGAGGUAGGUGGAAUGCGUGGUGUAGGGGUGAAAU
rnacentral:rRNA from 1 species